AUAGGUUGAGUAUAAUAUAUCUUUCAGUGUCUAUUUCAGGACAUAAAAAACAUAACUAGAAACAGAAACAUUGCACCUAACUUCCGUCGGUAAUAUCUUUAUUAAAAUCCCCCGCCCCCACAUGUCGAAUACAGUUAUUUCACCACGCCGUUAGCAAUAAUACCCUUCCAGCGUAACAUUAAACCGUUAGUCAUACUAUUAUAUCGGAAUUAGAUCAUUCAUUUUUGUGUCGGGACAAAAACUUUUUGAAACUGUGUAAAGAUUAUAAAGACUGGUUUCGGUGCAUUCACAAUUCAUACGCAAAUAUGCCAAUAAUGAUCUCCCCUUUAUUGGUAUUUUGAACGACUCGUCCUAAAUUUGAUCAGAAUAUACUUUGACACCCGUGGAUAGUGUGCGUAUCAAACACCAAACGGCAAAGAAAUUGCCUAUUUUAGCUCGGUCGGAAAUGGUCUCAACGAGUUCAAUAUAAUUAUAUAAGAUGUAGUUGCUAAGCUUUACGUCAUGGUCCCUGUGGUGUUCUUGGUAUUUAUGUUAUUACGUGGAACUAUAUCUGCAGAAAGAGAUGUUUGUGUUGGUAAUAGAAGUACGGAGACCUUUGAUUGUCGAUUAUAUAUCAGUAAUUGUACGAUGACUGCUGAUAGAUUUGGCACAAUAACCCUAAAAAAUGACAUCAAAAAUUGCAGCAUUGGUCCACAAACAACACAUGGUGACAUCAACAUGACAUGUCCAGUGAACUUGCAAAACAACAUAUUGCCACACAAUAUUAGAUUUACUUCUGGUAACUGUACGAAAAAUAUAUAUGGUAUUACGGUAUUCAAAUGGAUUAAACCAAACCCUAUUGGUGAUGUUGAGUUGUCAUCCAAACGAAGGAUAAUACAUAUACAGGGGUCAAUGAAAGAUAAUUUAAUCCCAAAUACUAAGAACAGAGAAGUUAACAUAGUCGUAGAACAACAAAUAACAGAUGAAGAUUUGAUAACACCUCAACCCAUUAGAAACAAAACUGAAACAAUGGAUCUAUAUGAACUAAAAACAACCCUUUAUAGGCUCCAUGCUUACACCGACUAUAGCGUAAAAAUAACAUGGCGUGUCGAGGGUAGCAUUUUUUGGAGUGAUCCAGUUUUACGUUAUAUCAAAACUGAACCAUGGCUACCAACCAUUGCCCCGAAACUGUUAAAGGGAGUAUAUUCGUUGGAAGCGAACGUUAAACCCCAAGAACGAACGAACAAUCUACAGGACAAUAGAAUAGUACUUUAUUGGCAGAAAAUACCAAAACUAAGAGAAAAUGGGCCUGGUUUAGAAUACGUCAUCUACAGAAUUCGCACAGAUAACAAACAACUAUCUAAUGUUAUUUUAGAUAAUGUCUCAUUUAAAAAACUGAGUAGAUUAAAUAUUUCCUUGGAAGAAACAAACAAAGAAAAUGAAACCACUUCUUUACUGAUUUACCAGACCACAUUUGGAAGUUCUAAGGUAUCAGGAAUUCUUAGAAACUUUCUGGAAGGUGACAUAGUUAUGAUCCUUGCCAACAACACAGUUGGGUUAUCAAAUUUCUACUCAGCACAAAGGAUUCUUUCAACAGCAGAAGCACCGAGUCAACCCUCCUCACUCACUUUUGAACAUUUAAAUGAUACACAUGUUAAUUUAACCUGGGAAUUACCACUCUCAAUCACAGACCAUCUUCAUUUCUACUGGUGUUAUGGCAUUUGGUGGAAAUUAGAAGGUUGGGUAGAGUGUAAGAAUCAGAUCUGGAUUAAGACAGUCGCCGCACAAUCAAACUCAUCUGAACCCACCUCGUUUACAUCAUCAUCUCCAUCAUCAUCAUCAUCAUCAUCAUCAUACAACAGUCAUAUAAUAGAUAUUACACAGGAAGAAAAUAUCACAUGUGAAGGUUGUUUUCUACAUUUUGGAAUGUCCGCAGAAAGCCAGAAUAUAUCCAGUCCCAUUUUAUGGAAUACAUCAUUAAGUGUUCUUCAGCCCCCCAAUGAGUGAGGAAAUACUUUACAAGGUCUUAUGACAUAGAGAUACCAAAAGAUUUACACGUUUCCGUAAGCCAGGGCCUUGAUAAUGUAGCAGCUGAUCUCUCAUCAGAAUCUCAGGAAAGUAAUCCUGACAGUGGCAAAGGGGAAUCGGUAUCAGAAAACGAUAACCCUAUUCAUGAGUAUUCUAAAUUGUCUGUACCUAGCUUGACACAUGAUACAAGUUCAGAUAAUAUUCUCAGACAGAAAUGUGAGAAACGUUUUGAAGAUUCUCAUAUUUUAGUUCAAACUAAUUCAUCUGGGGUGUCCAGUCAGAACGACAAACGAUUAUCAGAUGACAGUUGUGGUGAAUAUUCUAAAGCGGCUGUACAAGGACAAUCCAAUGAUAUAGAAAUGACAGAAAUAUCGUUAAAUAAGCAGGAAAUGCCCCAAAAGUCAGGCGAAAAGACAAUUAGAUUACCCUUUGUUCAUUAUAAUGGAAAUAUUUCUGCUCCCCAGAGUGAUGAAGAUGACAGCGUUCCUCACAUUGAAGUUUAUACCUCUUAUCGGGAGCAAGAUAGUACCGUUAAUGUCUAUUGAAGGAAAACGUAUAGACAACAUUUCGUAGACCGGUACACAAUUACCCCUACCUCUGAUAAUGUUCUUUUUCAGCCACUUAAAGUCAUCUAAUUCGUAAAGCCUAGCUCACAACCCGCAGUACGUGCUACCACGGAUAGUGUACGGGGAAAUUUGAGUAAACCCAUGAGUAAGACUUAGAUCGCAGACUGGCCGUAGUGACCAUUAGUCCUGCACAUAAUACAGUUUCACCCAGUUUCUUGUGGCUGGUCUGCGAGCUACCAAACACUACAAGUAUAAUGGUCUUACUCACUUAGCCACCGUGACUCACUGACUUCAGUUUAAGAAAAUCAAAAUUUUCGCAUUAGCUUAUGUACACACCAAUCCCCUAUUUAGCAUUACACAUGCCACAGCUUCUAUGUGAAACUUGCUAAGAUUGUUCAAUUAAUUUUAUGAACGUUCACACUUGAUCAUUUAAAAUUGACUGCUGGGACGACAUAAGUAUGUUUCAUUGUGUAUAUAAAUUUCAAAAUAUUUUAAAAUCUUGUCGUAUAUUUCUAAUCGUUUUAAUCGUUUUAUAUUUUACUAAUCUUUUUAUUUUUUUCUGUAAAAAAAAGAAGGUUUUGUACAUGAUUGUGUUGAUUAUUCCAUGUUACAGAUUGGAUAUAUUUAUUAGAGUAAUAUACAAGGAAUCCGUGAUUAAUUUCUUCAGAACUUAUUUAUAUAGCGCCGUUUGGCCCAUUUCCGACAUUACACCUUGGCCCAAAGCCAUUUUGUGCAGCCCAUUUUUCUGAUAUAGAAAAUACCUUCAAAACAUGUUCUACUGAAAUUAGUCACCGAUUUCUAAUAUUUUCCUCUGCUGGUCGCGUUCGUUGGGUUAAUAUUAAAUGUAACUUAAAAUGACCCGUCUCGAUCUGGUCGGGUUACUUAUAUAAUUACUCCGGGUACGACAUCAUCUAAACUCAGCGGUGGAUCCACCCUGUCGCGAAUAUCUUUUGAACGCUGAACAGACAUUUGAUCACAUAUUACUUCGAAUCACCACAAAACCUUCAACCCAGGAGUCCGCCGCAUUUACAUGUUGUGGAUGUAUAAUUAAAACAUGGAGCUACGAAGGCGCAAAGUUCGACGUCUGAGAGUAUAGGAUGGCGUCCCCCAGAAAAUUUUAAAUAUUAGACAGCCGCAAACGCGUUUUUCUGCAACUUGCAUUCCAGAUUUGGGAUGAAAGGACAGAAAUGAUAUUGAUCAAAAAACAAUCCUGUUUAAGAUUCCUGGGCCAGACACCAGAAAAUUUAUGAAACUAGAAGGCCGCAAACGCGUAUUCCUGCUAUUCCGGUCUGUGAAUACAGCAACCUGAAAAUGGCCCAAUAAAGACCAUGAUAACUCCAAUCAACAAAUGGUGUGAAUAUGUAGUAUAUCAAGGUUGUAGACCCUCUAGAGGCCACAAUUUCUUUCCGAUUUUGAUGCAACCUUACAUUUAUCCUUAUAUCACAAAGGUCUUGGUUCCUUUCGAUAUUUGCGCAUAUCGGAUAGUAACUUCCUGAAUUAUGGCCCUUGAUCGUAUGAAAAAUUGCGUUUUAAGCUUGCGGUCCCUCUAGAGUUAACAAUUUUUAUCCAAUAUA